rnacentral:tRNA from 1 species
GGGCCUGUAGCUCAGAUGGGAGAGCACCGCGUUCGCAUCGCGGGAGGCGCCGGUUCGAGUCCGGCCAGGUCCACCC